AGCAGCCGCGGUAAUUCCAGCUCCAAUAGCGUAUAUUAAAGUUGUUGCAGUUAAAAAGCUCGUAGUUGAAUUUCGGGAUUGACGUGAUGGUCAUGCCUUAAGGGGUAUGAACUGUUACUGUUGAUUUCUCACCUUCUGGAGAAACUUGAUGUCCUUUAUUGGGUGUCUUGCGGAUCCAGGACCUUUACCUUGAAAAAAUUAGAGUGUUUAAAGCAGGCAUUUUUGCUCGAAUACAUUAGCAUGGAAUAAUAGAAUAGGACGGCAUGGUUCUAUUUUGUUGGUUUCUAGGAUCACCGUAAUGAUUAAUAGGGAUAGUUGGGGGCAUUAGUAUUCAAUUGUCAGAGGUGAAAUUCUUGGAUUUAUUGAAGACUAACUACUGCGAAAGCAUUUGCCAAGGAUGUUUUCAUUAAUCAAGAACGAAAGUUAGGGGAUCGAAGACGAUCAGAUACCGUCGUAGUCUUAACCAUAAACUAUGCCGACUAGGAAUCAGACGAUGUUAAUUUUUUAAUGUACUCGUUU
rnacentral:rRNA from 1 species